rnacentral:rRNA from 1 species
CCUACGGGAGGCAGCAGUGGGGAAUUUUGGACAAUGGGCGCAAGCCUGAUCCAGCAAUGCCGCGUGAGUGAAGAAGGCCUUCGGGUUGUAAAGCUCUUUUGUCAGGGAAGAAACGGUGGGGGCUAAUAUCUCCCACUAAUGACGGUACCUGAAGAAUAAGCACCGGCUAACUACGUGCCAGCAGCCGCGGUAAUACGUAGGGUGCAAGCGUUAAUCGGAAUUACUGGGCGUAAAGCGUGCGCAGGCGGUUUUGUAAGUUUGUCGUGAAAUCCCCGGGCUCAACCUGGGAAUGGCGAUGAAGACUGCAAGGCUAGAAUCUGGCAGAGGGGGGUAGAAUUCCACGUGUAGCAGUGAAAUGCGUAGAGAUGUGGAGGAACACCGAUGGCGAAGGCAGCCCCCUGGGUCAAGAUUGACGCUCAUGCACGAAAGCGCGGGGAGCAAACAGGAUUAGAUACCCUGGUAGUCCACGCCCUAAACGAUGUCUACUAGUUGUCGGGUUUUAAUUAACUUGGUAACGCAGCUAACGCGUGAAGUAGACCGCCUGGGGAGUACGGUCGCAAGNUUAAAACUCAAAGGAUUGACGGNNGAGAGNGCGAGCGACGACGAGGGAGGAGG